AGUCCAUGAUGUGCGCAGAGCCUAACAUAUCCUUGUAUCUCUCCCAUGUUUCAAAAAGAGAUUCGUUGUCUUUUUGCCUAAAUUUGCUGAUUUGCCUUCUUAGCGU